AUUGAACGCUGGCGGCAGGCCUAACACAUGCAAGUCGAGCGCGAAAGUCUUCGGAUGAGUAAAGCGGCGGACGGGUGAGUAAUGCAUGGGAAUCUGCCUAGUAGUGGGGGACAACGUUCCGAAAGAGACGCUAAUACCGCAUACGCCCUACGGGGGAAAGGGGGGGAUCUUCGGACCUCUCGCUAUCAGAUGAGCCCAUGUCAGAUUAGCUAGUUGGUAGGGUAAAGGCCUACCAAGGCGACGAUCUGUAACUGGUCUGAGAGGAUGAUCAGUCAAACUGGAACUGAGACACGGUCCAGACUCCUACGGGAGGCAGCAGUGGGGAAUAUUGGACAAUGGGGGCAACCCUGAUCCAGCCAUGCCGCGUGUGUGAAGAAGGCCCUAGGGUUGUAAAGCACUUUCAGUGGGGAGAAAGGUUGUUCAGUUAAUACCUGAAUGAAUUGAUGUUACCCACAGAAGAAGCACCGGCUAACUCCGUGCCAGCCGCCGCGGUAA
rnacentral:rRNA from 1 species